UAUGGGAGGCACCACAGGGGAGUAUUGGGCAAAAUGGGCAAACGGGAUAUAUUUGAAAAACCAAGUGAAGAGAACCUUCGGGUUGUAAAACGCUUUUUUGUGGGAAGAAACCGGCCGGGUUAAUACCCCGGGGGAAUGACGGUACCCAAAGAAUAAACACCCCGUAAAUUUGUGCCACCACCCCCGGUAAUAUGAAGGGGGCAAGCGUUUUUUUGAAUUAUUGGGGGUAAAAAGUGCGUGGGGGGUUUUUUAAAUGUGAGGGGAAAGCCCUGGGCUCAACCCGGGAGAUCCGCUGGAUACAGUCCAGGUAGAGAGUGUGAGAGAGGGGGGGGGAAUUCGGUGUGUCGCUGAGAAAUGUGUAGAUAUGGAGGAACACCCCUGGGGAAAGGCGCCCAUCUGGGGCACCACUGACACUGAGGCACGAAAGCGUGGGGGGCAAACACGAUUAGAUACCCCGGUAGUUCCCGCCCUAAACGAUGGGAAAUGGACGUUGGGCACAGCUUAGCGCUCAGUGUCGAAGCUAACGCGUUAAGUAU
rnacentral:rRNA from 1 species